UACGAAGGGGGCGAGCGUUGUUCGGAUUUACUGGGCGUAAAGGGCGCGUAGGCGGCCCUCUUUGUCGCGUGUGAAAGCCCCGGGCUCAACCUGGGAAUUGCGCGCGAAACGGGGGGGCUGGAGUUCGGCAGGGGAGACUGGAAUUCCUGGUGUAGCGGUGAAAUGCGCAGAUAUCAGGAGGAACACCGGUGGCGAAGGCGGGUCUCUGGGCAGUUCCUGACGCUGAGGCACGAAGGUCAGGGGAGCAAACGGG
rnacentral:rRNA from 1 species